AGCGCAUUGGCUGCUGUAAGCCAGGGGCGGUAGCGUG
rnacentral:ncRNA from 1 species